rnacentral:rRNA from 1 species
CAAUUGGAGGGCAAGUCUGGUGCCAGCAGCCGCGGUAAUUCCAGCUCCAAUAGCGUAUAUUAAAAUUGUUGCAGUUAAAAAGCUCGUAGUUGAAUUUCUGCUGCUUUGCAUUUUCUCCUAUACGAGUUUUUGCAUUGUGGCUUAUUUCGGUUAUAAUUUAUUAUUUCCGGAUGUUUACUUUGAGAAAAUUAGAGUGCUCAAAGCAGGCUUUUGCCUUGAAUAGUUUAGCAUGGAAUAAUAAAGUAGGACUUUGGUUCUAUUUUGUUGGUUUUAGGUACCAAAGUAAUGGUUAAUAGGAACAGUUGGGGGCAUUCGUAUUUAACUGUCAGAGGUGAAAUUCUUAGAUUUGUUAAAGACGAACUACUGCGAAAGCAUUUGCCAAGGAUGUUUUCAUUAAUCAAGAACGAAAGUUAGGGGAUCGAAGACGAUCAGAUACCGUCGUAGUCCUAACCAUAAACUAUGCCGACUAGAGAUUGGAGGUCGUCAGUUUUUACGACUCCUUCAGCACCUUGAGAGAAAUCAAAGUCUUUGGGUUCUGGGGGG